GCCCACUAGUGUGGACGGAAUAUAGCAGGAUGCAUAUGCAAAAGUCCACAUGCAGCUCCAUAUGCAGCUUACAUGGAGGGAGAACUAAAGAGCAGAAAUUGGAAGGAGCCAUUUAGCAGUGUCACUUGGCAGAUCAGAAACAAGAGGAUGACUUGCAUCUUUCUGCCAUGCUGGCUCCUAACUGUGUUUGAAAUCUGACUUAGGUUAAAAUUAUGUAGGUAAUUUCUUUUUCCUUUUUUUCCCAUGACCAUUUUUUCAGCAUGGACAACGUUGCCUAUCUCCGCAAAGAGCUUAUGUAAUCAGUUCGCACUGCCAAAUUCAGUCUUGUUUGAUUGUGUUUCAUGCAUGGUGCUUCUGCAUCCAUUCUGUAUCCUUUGUCAAAAGAGCCCAGUUUCUGCCAUAUGGAAGGGCGAAGGAAAUGGGCAGGAAGCAGAGCUGAGUUCUCAUUAAAUGCUACGUCUCUGUCCAGAAAGCUGAUAAUUAGCAAACAGUUCAUUUAUUUGCAUGCCUAUCCUAGAAAUAAUGCCUCUGCAAAUUCACAGGCCCUAUCAAGCUUAAGUGUGGAGCAUAGAACCACAAGCCAGAGAGAAGUAGCUUUCCACAAAGGACUUCUGAACCUUCUUUGUUCAUAUUUCAUUUUCCAUUUGUGACUCAACAACACUUCAGA